rnacentral:rRNA from 1 species
GACGAACGCUGGCGGCGUGCUUAACACAUGCCAGUCGAACGGAAAGGCCCUGCUUUUGUGGGGUGCUCGAGUGGCGAACGGGUGAGUAACACGUGAGUAACCUGCCCUUGACUUUGGGAUAACUUCAGGAAACUGGGGCUAAUACCGGAUAGGAGCUCCUGCUGCAUGGUGGGGGUUGGAAAGUUUCGGCGGUUGGGGAUGGACUCGCGGCUUAUCAGCUUGUUGGUGGGGUAGUGGCUUACCAAGGCUUUGACGGGUAGCCGGCCUGAGGGGGUGACCGGCCACAUUGGGACUGAGAUACGGCCCAGACUCCUACGGGAGGCAGCAGCGGGGAAUAUUGCACAAUGGGCGGAAGCCUGAUGCAGCAACGCCGCGUGCGGGAUGACGGCCUUCGGGUUGUAAACCGCUUUCGCCUGUGACGAAGCGUGAGUGACGGUAAUGGGUAAAGAAGCACCGGCUAACUACGUG